GACUCUGUAGCUCAGAGGUAGAGCGAUUGAUUGCAGUCGUAUACUAGUAUCAACAGGCCGCGUGUUCGACUCACGCCAGGGUCU
rnacentral:tRNA from 1 species